ACAGAUAUAAGCUAGUUGUAAGUGUAUAGCACAUAUAUCCAUGGAACCAGCAAAAAAGGUUACAAUCCAAAAUGCUCUUUGUCCUACAAACCCUCCACCUCCAAGCGGGGGAAGUGCUUCAAGCUCUGAGCCUGCUAAACCACCACCCACCAUACAACAAAUCUUUCCCAAAAACACCAGCAAGAAAUGAAUGACUCAUUAGUCAUCAACUACGUACAAAUACAUCAGCACUACCUUCCACAAACUUGCUGUAGCUUCAUUAAUUCCAAUUAUCUGCAAAAUGGUCGUCACGUCCAUGAGGAUCAUCGACCUGUUAUAUAGUAUAUAUUCUUGCAAAAUUUAUAUGAUGUGUAUUGUUAAAAUAUUAGCUUUCGAUGUGUAACAGCA
rnacentral:lncRNA from 1 species